rnacentral:rRNA from 1 species
UACAGAGGGUGCGAGCGUUGUCCGGAAUCACUGGGCGUAAAGGGCGCGUAGGCGGUCCGGUAAGCGCGUGGUGAAAGCUCGGGGCUCAACCCUGAGUCGGCCGUGCGAACUGCGGGACUGGAGCAGAUCAGAGGCAGGCGGAAUUCCGGGUGUAGCGGUGGAAUGCGUAGAGAUCCGGAAGAACACCGGUGGCGAAGGCGGCCUGCUGGGAUCUUGCUGACGCUGAGGCGCGACAGCGUGGGGAGCAAACAGG